CUGGAAUCGAUUUUGCAUGGUGUCAGGAGUCAAGGUACAUUUUUUUCCCAUAUGGAAAUCCAGUUGGCUCACUAUUGUUCAUUGAAAGAGCACAGACACGCCGCUGUCUACUGAUGGAGUUCAUCAGUCAGUGUGAGGGCGCGUUGCCUGAAGAUGUGACUCUGUUCCCCCUCACCCUGAGGACAAGGCAGGGCCAUCGCACGAUGCAACAACAUGCCGAUCUCCAUGGAUUCCCGAAACACAGAAAAGAGGUCGCAGGCCGAUAACCCAGAGACAAACGGACCCAGUUACGGGGCUGCCUGAUGCCAGCUGUGACUGUUUUGAAAUAAUGCUGGAAGAAGAAGAAUGUAAGACCUUCAGUACUUUAUCAUAUACCCGGGACUGCGAGCCCCACAUAUAAAAUCUCCGAUUCCCGAAGCGGGGGUGGGCACAGUUCUUGAGGCGCCAGCCUGCUGUGUCUUCCCUUUUGCCUGGCAGAAAAAUAAAGCCAUCUCUCU